rnacentral:sRNA from 1 species
CCUCAGUGACCUGUUGAGGACAGAUAAAGUGGAUGUGUGCGUCGAUGGCGCCGGCGGUGACUAUGAGCUUCUCCCCUGCGAUAACUUCCGUUCCUGAGCCUACGACGAGAGAAGGCGAAACGCCAGCCAUUACGUCCGGGUUUCCCGCUUUUCCAAUUCCGUGGAUUAGUCCACCUUUCACUCCGAUAUCCGCCUAUCGCGCGCGUCAAGAGCGAACUUAUUCAUAUGAGAAAAUAAGCAAACCUUGUAGAUUCCAGACCAGUCAACGACGAGGGCGUUUGUGAUUAGAAGAUCGAGAGUCUCAGACGAAGAACGAUUGGUGGCUUGACCCAUGCCUUCGCGAAUG